ACAUACAUACAUGUUACAUACAUACAGGUUACAUACAUACAGGUUACAUACAUACAGGUUACAUACAUACAUGUUACAUACUUACAGGUUACAUACAUACAGGUUACAUACAGGUUACAUACAUACAGGUCACAUACAUACAGGUCACAUACAUACAGGUUACAUACAUACAGGUUACAUACAGGUUACAUACAUACAGGUUACAUACAUACAGGUUACAUACAGGUUACAUACAUACAGGUUACAUACAGGUUACAUACAUACAGGUUACAUACAGGUUACAUACAUACAGGUUACAUACAUACAGGUUACAUACAGGUUACAUACAUACAUGUUACAUACAUACAGGUUACAUACAUACAGGUUACAUACAGGUUACAUACAGGUUACAUACAUACAGGUUACAUACAUACAGGUUACAUACAUACAUGUUACAUACAUACAGGUUACAUACAUACAGGUUACAUACAGGUUACAUACAUACAGGUUACAUACAGGUUACAUACAUACAUGUUACAUACAUAGAGGUUACAUACAUACAGGUUACAUACAUACAGGUUACAUACAUACAGGUUACAUACAGGUUACAUACAUACAGGUUACAUACAGGUUACAUACAUACAGGUUACAUACA
ensembl:lncRNA